GCCAGCCCCUGUCCUUGUCACCCGAACUUUCUCCUUCCUCUCCAUGCUUCUAAAUCCUAGGCACCCCUGCAAGUCCUGCUCAAGCCCCAUCUUUCCAUGAAGACUUCCUUGGCCCCCUCAGUCCACAUAGUGCCUCUGUUCAUCUCUCUGCCCUGGACACUCACAGGCCAUGAAGUUUUAUGAACGAUUCCUUGCAUUGCUGUUCUCCUUUUUACAGAUAUUUGGUUUCCCCCAGUUACGUGGUUACAUUCUCCAGGACUAGGUGCAUCUGGCCAGACAACAUGAUGCAGCCUGGAAUUGCCAUCUCUCCUCCUGGGAGGUUUAUCCCUCCCAUCUGCUACAUUUCACCCAAAUGAGGAUGCAGAUCAGAAACAUGCAAAGUGUGCUGAGAGGGAACACGCUGUGAAACAGAAAAGCAGAGAAGUCAAACAAGAAAAGUUUGCGAGUAAAUACUUGGAGGACAAGGAUGCCCACUUCGCUCAGCUGGCCUUGGGGAUUACUGGUCGUCACUCAGUUUAUGUGACCAUGUUGGAACCUCUAGACGCUGACUCUGAUCUGCUGUCAUUAGAAACACCAAACAUUUACCAAAAGAGCCAAGUCACUGAACCCAAGGGGUUAGUUUGUUUUGAAAACAGACCUAGACUUUCUACCAAGAGCCAGAAAAUCAUUGAAAACAUAAAACAACAAAAAUCUGUGGUGUGUUUGUAAAAAACGAAGACUCUGACCCUGAUCUAAACCAGAGUAUUUUUCUCCUGGCUCCCUCCCUUUUUCCCUUAAUUAGGCUAACUGGAAAGGAAAGGCUUUCAUCAGACCCAAACAGUAAUCUUCCUACCCUAAUCUCUAGGACAAAACAGAGAAUCUGGUCUGGAAUUGAAUUUGAAAUAUUAAAGAAAAAUAAC
rnacentral:lncRNA from 1 species